AUUGAACGCUGGCGGCAUGCCUUACACAUGCAAGUCGAACGGCAGCACGGGUGCUUGCACCUGGUGGCGAGUGGCGAACGGGUGAGUAAUAUAUCGGAACGUACCCUAUUGUGGGGGAUAACGCAGCGAAAGCUGUUCUAAUACCGCUUAAUCCAUAAGGGGGAAAGCGGGGGACCGUAAGGCCUCGCGCAAUUAGAGCGGCCGAUACCUGAUUAGCUAGUUGGUGAGGUAAAGGCUCACCAAGGCAACGAUCAUGAGCUGGUCUGAGAGGACGAUCAGCCACACUGGGACUGAGACACGACCCAGACUCCUACGGGAGGCAGCAGUGGGGAAUUUUGGACAAUGGGGGCAACCCUGAUCCAGCAAUGCCGCGUGAGUGAAGAAGGCCUUCGGGUUGUAAAGCUCUUUUGUCAGGGAAGAAACAGCAGCUCUAACACAGUUUGCGAAUGACGGUACCUGAAGAAUAAGCACCGGCUAACUACGUGCCAGCCGCCGCGGUAA
rnacentral:rRNA from 1 species